ACAGCAGUAGCCGCGGUAAUACGUAGGGUGCAAGCGUUAAUCGGAAUUACUGGGCGUAAAGCGCACGCAGGCGGUUUGUUAAGUCAGAUGUGAAAUCCCCGAGCUUAACUUGGGAACUGCAUUUGAAACUGGCAAGCUAGAGUCUUGUAGAGGGGGGUAGAAUUCCAGGUGUAGCGGUGAAAUGCGUAGAGAUCUGGAGGAAUACCGGUGGCGAAGGCGGCCCCCUGGACAAAGACUGACGCUCAGGUGCGAAAGCGUGGGGAGCAAACAGGAUUAGAUACCCCAGUAGUCCCUGUCUCUUAUAC
rnacentral:rRNA from 1 species